UACAGAGGGUGCGAGCGUUGUCCUGAAUCACUGGGCGUAAAGGGCGCGUAGGCGGCUUGAUAAGGUUGCGGUGAAAGCCCGGGGCUCAACCCCGGGUCGGCCGUGGCAACUGUCGAGCUGGAGCACUGUAGAGGCAGGUGGAAUUCCGGGUGUAGCGGUGGAAUGCGUAGAGAUCCGGAAGAACACCGGUGGCGAAGGCGGCCUGCUGGGCAGUGGCUGACGCUGAGGCGCGACAGCGUGGGGAGCAAACAGG
rnacentral:rRNA from 1 species